UACGGGAGGCAGCAGUGAGGAAUAUUGGUCAAUGGACGAGAGUCUGAACCAGCCAAGUAGCGUGAAGGAUGACUGCCCUAUGGGUUGUAAACUUCUUUUGUACUGGGGUAAAAAAGAGGACGUGUCCUUUCUUGCAAGUACAGUACGAAUAAGCAUCGGCUAACUCCGUGCCAGCAGCCGCGGUAAUACGGAGGAUGCGAGCGUUAUCCGGAUUUAUUGGGUUUAAAGGGUGCGUAGGCGGAGAUUUAAGUCAGCGGUGAAAGUUUGAGGCUCAACCUUAAAAUUGCCGUUGAAACUGGGUUUCUUGAGUGUAUUUGAAGUAGGCGGAAUUCGUUGUGUAGCGGUGAAAUGCAUAGAUAUAACGAAGAACUCCAAUUGCGCAGGCAGCUUACUAAACUACAACUGACGCUGAAGCACGAAAGCGUGGGUAUCAAACAGGAUUAGAUACCCUGGUAGUCCACGCAGUAAACGAUGAUUACUAGCUGUUUGUGAUAUUACAAUAAGUGGCUAAGCGAAAGCGAUAAGUAAUCCACCUGGGGAGUACGCCGGCAACGGUGAAACUCAAAGGAAUUGACGG
rnacentral:rRNA from 1 species